CCUACGGGAGGCAGCAGUGGGGAAUAUUGGACAAUGGGCGAAAGCCUGAUCCAGCCAUGCCGCGUGUGUGAAGAAGGUCUUCGGAUUGUAAAGCACUUUAAGUUGGGAGGAAGGACAGUAAGUUAAUACCUUGCUGUUUUGACGUUACCGACAGAAUAAGCACCGGCUAACUUCGUGCCAGCAGCCGCGGUAAUACGAAGGGUGCAAGCGUUAAUCGGAAUUACUGGGCGUAAGUCGCGCGUAGGUGGUUUGGUAAGAUGGAUGUGAAAUCCCCGGGCUCAACCUGGGAACUGCAUCCAUAACUGCCUGACUAGAGUACGGUAGAGGGUGGUGGAAUUUCCUGUGUAGCGGUGAAAUGCGUAGAUAUAGGAAGGAACACCAGUGCCUGGAAAAAAAUCCCAAAAAAAACCCAAC
rnacentral:rRNA from 1 species